rnacentral:rRNA from 1 species
ACGGAAGGCAGCAGUGGGGAAUAUUGCACAAUGGGGGAAACCCUGAUGCAGCAACGCCGCGUGAGUGAUGAAGGUCUUCGGAUUGUAAAGCUCUGUCUUUAGGGACGAUAAUGACGGUACCUAAGGAGGAAGCCACGGCUAACUACGUGCCAGCAGCCGCGGUAAUACGUAGGUUGCAAGCGUUGUCCGGAUUUACUGGGUGUAAAGGGCGUGUAGGCGGAGCUGCAAGUCAGAUGUGAAAUCCCGGGGCUCAACCCCGGAACUGCAUUUGAAACUGUAGCCCUUGAGUAUCGGAGAGGCAAGCGGAAUUCCUAGUGUAGCGGUGAAAUGCGUAGAUAUUAGGAGGAACACCAGUGGCGAAGGCGGCUUGCUGGACGACAACUGACGCUGAGGCGCGAAAGCGUGGGGAGCAAACAGGAUUAGAUACCCUGGUA